GUCCCCGUGGCCUAAUGGCUAAGGCGCAAGACUUCUAAGCGGGGAAACCCCACCAUGAUAUCUUGAGAUUGCGAGUUCGAUCCUCGCCGGGGAUU